rnacentral:lncRNA from 1 species
UUCACCAAACCCUAACAUGACUCAAACAACUCUAAAAACCUACAAUCUACAUGCUAACGUGCUCGUAUUGAUGAGCACCACCUAACAAGGACUACAGACCUCCCAAACCCCUGCCGGACGCGCCGCCACGCGCCACCACCGACGGCAGCGAGUGGGCCCCACGCGCCACCCCAAAACUUUCGAAUUAAGACAAAUUCCCAACACAAAACUUGAAGAUUAAAGAGAAGGGAGCAUCUUUCAUACCUGAGGUUUCGCCCCAAUCGGCCGGAAACAAGCCGGAAACUCGCCGGAAAGAUUGGGAUCCACCACCGCCACUCUCCGCCGUGAGUUGAGCUUCAACACCACCAGGGAUCGAACGAGGACGUCCAACACUUCAUAUCCCGACCGUUUCCAAGCUGCGUCGCCGCCGCCGGAGGUAGGAAACCGAUCGGGUUGCAAACCGGGUCGCCCGCCCUCACUGUGGCGCUCGGCUUGCACAGCUCAGCUCGGGUCAUCCUCAUCCACCAACACAGGGAAGAUUGCGCCGCCAAGGAGAAGCGACUCCGACCGGUGCCGUCACCUGGGUCGGCCGGAGAUGCCCGGAAAAUUCGGGUCGGGUCAACCGGGUCCGGGUCGGGUUGGCUGGGAAGCUUGGGUUCUCUCGGGGUCGGGGAGAGAGAAGAAAGGGGAAGAAAAGGAAUUCUGAAAAAUAAGAGAACCCAAAACGAAAUUUUCCUAUUUAACCUAAAUAUUCCCGAAAAGCCACAACUUCUGCUGACCAUAACUUUCUCAUACGAAGUCCGUUUUAUGCGUGCCACGUGUCUACGAACUCGUAUCGUCGUGCUCUACAACUUUUGUGAAGGAAGUUUCUCGAGAAACCCAACGGAUUAGAAAGUCAACUCUUGACCCUUCAGAACCAUAAAACCGGUUCAGGCAAUUUACGCAUCCGAACCCUUCCGCUCUUCCUUCGAACAUCAAAACACACUAACUUCUAACUCAAAAAUUCCUAAAUAAAAUUAGAAACUAAUAUCAAAUUUCUGGGGUAUUACAGGUUUGCUUCAAUCUCAAGAACAAUUUAGAUUUCCAGAAAGUCUACUUUUCUUUGAUUUCUCUUAUGUUAAUGGUAGACAUUUCUUAUGAAAAAAGUAGUUGUAUCUUAUGUUAAAUGUAGACUUUGCAUCUUUUACCUUGAUUUGGUUCAUUCUCAAGAACAAUUUAGAUUUCCAGAAAGUCUACUUUUAUUUUAUUUCUCUUAUGUUAAUGGUAGACAUUGUUUAUGAAAAAAGUAGUUGUGUCUUAUGUUAAAUGUAGACUUUACAUUUUUUACCUUGGUUAAUUUGCUUCAAUCUCAAGAACAAUUUUAAUUUUCCAGAAAGUCUACUUUUCUUUGAUUUCUCUUAUGUUAAUGGUAGAUGUUUCUAAUGAAAAUAGUAGAUGUGUCUUAUGUUAAAUGUAGACUUUGCAACUUUCACCUUCCAUUAUUGAUUCAAUCUCAAAAACAAUUUUGAUUUUCAGAAAAUCUACUUUUCUUUGAUUUCUGUUAUGUUAAUGAUAGACAUUUCUUAUGAAAAAAGUAGUUGUGUCUUAUGUUAAAUGUAGACUUUGCAUCUUUUACCUUGGUUUGGUUCAAUCUCAAUUACAAUUUAGAUUUCCAGAAAUUUUACUUUUCUUUGAUUUCUCUUAUGUUAAUGGUAGCCAUUUCUUAUGAAAAAUGUUGUUGUGUCUUAUGUUAAAUGUAGACUUUACAUUUUUUACCUUGGUUAAUUUGCUUCAAUCUCAAGAAUAAUUUUUAUUUCCAGAAAGUCUACUUUUCUUUGAUUUCUCUGAUGUUAAUGGUAGCCAUGUCUUUUGAAAAAAGUAGUUGUGUCUUAUGUUAAAUGUAGACUUUUCAUCUUUUACCUUGGUUUUGUCACGCCCCAAUUUUCGAAGGAUAAAUUUUAAAAAUUUGGGCAUGAUAUAACUCACAAAUAAGACUACAUGACCUGCUCAACAAAUCCCUACUAAACUUAAAUGCUGGAAAUGUAAAUGUCAACAAAACUCAUCGACUGAGUUAAACAUUACAUCUCUUUAUUUACAACUUCAAAAGUCUAGUAAAAAGAAGAUGCUCACACGAGCUUAAAACAACUUACAUAAUAUACAAAUAAAAUGUACAUCAUCUAAACCCCAGCCACUAUGCCUCUGCCUCAACCCUGUUGAUCAACACCUGCAAGUCUAACCCCUACACCAUGAAUUGGUGCACCGGGUUGUAAACAACAAACCCAGUAAGCUAAAAAGCUUGUAUGAGUAAUUCUCAAAAUUUACUCAACAUCUCUAACACCACAUAAGAUAAAACCGGCAAUUCCUGCUUUAGAACUUAGUUCAGGAAUCACUUCAAAACAAUAAAAUCAUAAGUGAAUCCUGCAAANNNN